UACGUAGGGGGCAAGCGUUGUCCGGAUUUAUUGGGCGUAAAGAGCUCGUAGGCGGUUUGGUAAGUCUGGUGUGAAAUCUCCACGCUCAACGUGGAGGGGCCACCCGAUACUGCCAUGACUGGAGUCCGGUAGAGGAGUGUGGAAUUCCCGGUGUAGCGGUGAAAUGCGCAGAUAUCGGGAGGAACACCCGUAGCGAAGGCGGCUCUCUGGGACGUGACUGACGCUGAGACGCGAAAGCGUGGGGAGCGAACAGG
rnacentral:rRNA from 1 species